rnacentral:tRNA from 1 species
GCGUCGUUGGUUCAGUGGUAGAAUGCUCGCCUGCCAACAAUUUGUGGAUNGAAGUACGCGGGCGGCCCGGGUUCGAUUCCCGGACGACGCA